rnacentral:rRNA from 1 species
CGAGGGGCAUCGGGAGGGAAGCUUGCUUUCCUUGCCGGCGACCGGCGCACGGGUGAGUAACACGUAUGCAACCUGCCCUCUUCAGGGGGACAACCUUCCGAAAGGGAGGCUAAUCCCGCGUAUAUCGGUUUCGGGCAUCCGAGAUCGAGGAAAGAUUCAUCGGAAGAGGAUGGGCAUGCGGCGCAUUAGCUAGACGGCGGGGUAACGGCCCACCGUGGCGACGAUGCGUAGGGGUUCUGAGAGGAAGGUCCCCCACACUGGUACUGAGACACGGACCAGACUCCUACGGGAGGCAGCAGUGAGGAAUAUUGGUCAAUGGGAGAGAUCCUGAACCAGCCAAGCCGCGUGAGGGAAGACGGCCCUAUGGGUUGUAAACCUCUUUUGUCGGAGAACAAAACCCGGGACGAGUCCCGGACUGCGUGUAUCCGAAGAAAAAGCAUCGGCUAACUCCGUGCCAGCAGCCGCGGUAAUACGGAGGAUGCGAGCGUUAUCCGGAUUUAUUGGGUUUAAAGGGUGCGUAGGCGGUCCGUUAAGUCAGCGGUAAAAUUGCGGGGCUCAACCCCGUCGAGCCGUUGAAACUGGCAGACUUGAGUUGGCGAGAAGUACGCGGAAUGCGCGGUGUAGCGGUGAAAUGCAUAGAUAUCGCGGAGAACUCCGAUUGCGAAGGCAGCGUACCGGCGCCAGACUGACGCUGAGGCACGAAAGCGUGGGGAUCCCAUUAAAGAUGGGUCCCCUGGUGGUCCACGCAGUAAACGAUGAAUGCUGGAGUCCGGGUCGAAUGAGACCUGGGCGGCGAAGCGAAAGCGAUAAGCAUUCCACCUGGGGAGUACGCCGGCAACGGUGAAACUCAAAGGAAUUGACGGGGGCCCGCACAAGCGGAGGAACAUGUGGUUUAAUUCGAUGAUACGCGAGGAACCUUACCCGGGCUCAAACGGGAGUGGAAUGGACCAGAGACGGUUCAGCCUACGGGCCGCUUCCGAGGUGCUGCAUGGUUGUCGUCAGCUCGUGCCGUGAGGUGUCGGCUUAAGUGCCAUAACGAGCGCAACCCCCGCCGGCAGUUGCUAACGGGCAAUGCCGAGGACUCUGCCGGGACUGCCGCCGCAAGGCGUGAGGAAGGCGGGGAUGACGUCAAAUCAGCACGGCCCUUACGUCCGGGGCGACACACGUGUUACAAUGGGCGGUACAGCGGGAAGCCAGGCGGCGACGCCGAGCGGAACCCGAAAGCCGUUCUCAGUUCGGAUCGGAGUCUGCAACCCGACUCCGUGAAGCUGGAUUCGCUAGUAAU